AGAGUUUGAUCCUGGCUCAGAAUAAACGCUGGCGGCGUGCCUAACACAUGCAAGUUGAGCGGUAAGGCCCCUUCGGGGGUACACGAGCAGCGAACGGGUGAGUAUCGCGUGGGUAACCUACCCAGAAGUAGGGGAUAGCCUCGGGAAACCGGGGGUAAUACCGCAUAAGGUUUCGACGACAUAAGUCGAUGAAAGCAAAGGCGGGGAUCCUUCGGGACCUGUCGCUUCUGGAUGGGCCCGCGUCCGAUUAGCUAGUUGGUGAGGUAAUGGCUCACCAAGGCUUCGAUCGGUAGCCGGCCUGAGAGGGUGAACGGCCACAUUGGGACUGAGACACGGCCCAGACUCCUACGGGAGGCAGCAGUGGGGAAUCUUGGGCAAUGGGGGAAACCCUGACCCAGCGACGCCGCGUGGAGGAUGACGGCCUUCGGGUUGUAAACUCCUGUCAGGUGGGAAGAAAAGCUUGUCGGCUAAUACCCGGCAGGAAUUGACGUACCACCAAAGAAGCCCCGCUAACU
rnacentral:rRNA from 1 species